GGAGGGUGCAAGCGUUAUCCGGAUUUAUUGGGUUUAAAGGGUACGUAGGCGGCAGAGUCAGUCAGUGGUGAAAGCCAACAGCUUAACUGUUGAACUGCCAUUGAUACUGCUUUGCUUGAGUACAGUCGAGGUAGGCGGAAUUCCACAUGUAGUGGUGAAAUGCAUAGAUAUGUGGAGGAACGCCGAUAACGAAGGUAGCUUACUAGGCUGUUACUGACGCUGAGGUACGAAAGCGUGGGGGAGCGAACGGGAUUAGAGACCCCGGUAGUCCACGCCGUAAACGAUGGUCACUCGAUGUAUACCCCUUGAGGUAUGCGUCCAAGCGAAAGCGUUAAGUGACCCACCUGGGGGAGUACGCUCGCAAGAGUG
rnacentral:rRNA from 1 species